GGAGAGGUGGCAGAGUGGUCGAAUGCGCCGGACUCGAAAUCCGGUGUACUGUUAUGCAGUACCGUCGGUUCGAAUCCGACCCUCUCCGCCA
rnacentral:tRNA from 1 species